rnacentral:rRNA from 1 species
GGGCUUCACACGUCAUACAAUGGUCGGAACAGAGGGUCGCCAACCCGCGAGGGGGAGCCAAUCCCAGAAAACCGAUCGUAGUCCGGAUUGCACUCUGCAACUCGAGUGCAUGAAGCUGGAAUCGCUAGUAAUCGCGGAUCAGCAUGCCGCGGUGAAUA